CAAGGAAUUUUCCCCAAUGGGCGCAAGCCUGAGGGAGCAACGCCGCGUGCAGGACGACGGCCUUCGGGUUGUAAACUGCUUUUGCGUGGGACGAUAACGACGGUACCACGCGAAUCAGCCCCGGCUAACUCUGUGCCAGCAGCCGCGGUAAUACGGAGGAUGCAAGCGUUAUCCGGAAUUAUUGGGCGUAAAGCGUCCGCAGGUGGCACUUCAAGUCUGCUGUCAAAGACCAGAGCUCAACUCUGGGCAGGCGGUGGAAACUGGGGAGCUAGAGUACGGUAGGGGUAGAGGGAAUUUCCAGUGUAGCGGUGAAAUGCGUAGAGAUUGGAAAGAACACCAGUGGCGAAGGCGCUCUACUGGACCUGUACUGACACUAAGGGACGAAAGCUAGGGGAGCGAAAGGGAUUAGAUACCCCCGUAGUCC
rnacentral:rRNA from 1 species